CUUUAUGGAGGAAAGGGCCACAGGGGGUGACGGGAUGACUCCUUUGAGGUCCUGGUCACAGACAGCACUGCCGCGCUCUCCAGGUGACAAAGUGGGACACGUCUUAGAGGGGAGAGACGUUAUCUUCUCUGGGUUUGCAAGGAACGUGGCUUCGCCUUGGUACCACAGGGACCCAGGAGCCCAGCAGUCGAGUCAGCAGAAGCGGAGCCAGCUGAAGCGGUGGAGCCGGCUGAGAGCAGGGGUUCCCGGCUGCGCCCAGGAGAAGGGAAGGAGAACAAGAAGAGGCAGGGCCCAGGCAGUCGCCGCCCCGACUGUGAGCACGCGCGCAGUUUGGUGUGAUUUUGGAGGAGGCAUUUGCUGUUUCUUAGAAGUUGGGAGAAAAACCAGAGCACACUAUGGUUGUUGCUGUCAAGGACCCUGCAAUUUUCUUAAACUUUUCAAAGUAUUGGAAGAAAAAAAAAAAAAAGAAAGGUAUUAAUGCAUUUAUUUUCUGUUCUAGAUUUGGCUAAGGGCAAUAUGUCCUAACUCUUGGGGUUUAUUCUGUUUCUAUUAAUAAAUUGUCAAUAGGGUCC
rnacentral:lncRNA from 1 species